AGUGAACGCUGGCGGUAGGCCUAACACAUGCAAGUCGAACGGCAGCACAGUAAGAGCUUGCUCUUACGGGUGGCGAGUGGCGGACGGGUGAGGAAUACAUCGGAAUCUACUUUUUCGUGGGGGAUAACGUAGGGAAACUUGCGCUAAUACCGCAUACGACCUACGGGUGAAAGCAGGGGAUCUUCUGACCUUGCGCGAUUGAAUGAGCCGAUGUCGGAUUAGCUAGUUGGCGGGGUAAUGGCCCACCAAGGCGACGAUCCGUAGCUGGUCUGUGAGGAUGAUCAGCGACACUGGAAGUGAGACGCGGUCAAGACUCCUACGGGAGGCAGCAGUGUGGAAUAUUGGGCAAUGGGCGCAAGCCUGAUCCAGCCAGAGCGCGUGGGUGAAGGAGGCCUUCGGGUUGUAAAGCCCGUCUGUUGGGAAAGAAAAGCAGCAGGUUAAGACGCCGCGGGUCUGACGGUACCCAAAGAAUAAGCACCGGCUAACUACGUG
rnacentral:rRNA from 1 species